CAUUUUUUCAAUUAUGUUUCUGGCUAGUAUGCAGCCAGUCUCUGGAAAAGUAAUCCUACGUUUAAAGUUAUUGUGCAUUUGUCUCAAGUAUCCUGCUCUUCUCAAGAAUCUCCCUGAUUCUCCAAGCUGGAUCACUCCUUCCAGCUCUUCCCUGUUUGCCUUUGGUCCAUCUUCACACAGAAGUGAGAGAAGAGAGAGAAGAAAAGACUCCACUAGCUUGCCCAUGUAUCUCAGAUCAGAAACAUAACCCAGUCUCUUAUGCCUUUUCUAAAAUGAUCUUUCUAUUCAGUAAAUGUUUUGGAUCAAGCAAAAUAAAUGCAUAAAAGGUUUCUUUAUCUACACAAAAAUCACAUCAACUUUAUCAUGUUGGAGUUUAUUCAUUUUUUUCUCUGUGCUCCACCAGGUCCGUUUACCAGUUUCAGGAGCCGACCAGAACCCCUGAGUGUGAGUCCCAUUGGAAGGAGACUCAGGUGCUGUUCUUGGUUGAAUGGGAACAUCUUCGAUCUUUCCCAGAAUGAGCAGGAAAGUGAGAUUGGAGGAAGGUAUGAAUAGGAUUCGCUUGAAUUUUAAAAAAUUUCUGUGUACGAAAAGCAACUGGGUGGAGGUGAAUUGGGAAGACGAUGGUAGAUGUUGGUUGGGUGGAAAAGUCUGUAUGGCCACCAACAGAAAUCAACUUUCAGUGAGUUGUAACAUCUGUUUAUCUAUUUUGCCUAACUUCAUAAGUGAAAAUUCACAUUAUUAGGCUGAACACAUUAAAUGUUUUCCCUCCUGUGUCAAACUGCCCCAGUGUGCCCAUUGUGGUUAAGUUAUGAGCUACAGAGCUGCAGCUUUCAGAAAUCUUUUAUCUGAGAGACAGUCGGAGAAGGACAAAGACAGAACGUUGUGGGAAUCAAGCUUUUAAAGCGACCUUCUCUUGUUUCAGGGGCUGGGAAACAGAGCCCACAGAACAAAUGAGAAGUAAACACGCAGCCACAGGAAGCCAUUUACUGCAGCAGGGGCCAAUUAGGCCCCAGCAGGUGUUCUGGACUGGGUCCUCUUUGGUCCUGCCUCACCUCCGUCUGGCAGAGCGCCGACCCAGGCUGAGGAAACAACGGGCAGUUUCAUUUGCUCAGCAAUUUGAAGCAAAGUAUUCCUACAGGAGGGCCCCUAAAAUCCUUUAUUGUGCCCCCUUUGUCCUCUGCUCCACCCCCUCCAAGUGCAAGUCAUUAGAGAAGACAAUUACAUCCUCCUUAUGAAGCUUGACUUUUACAGGAGGGGAAGAUAAGACAGGAUCUCUCUCAUGGAAGACCCCCGGAGCGUAUUGCUGUCUUCACACCCAGACAGAAGUGAGACGGGACGGUCAAAAUCAAAGUCAAUUCUCAGGGAAGAGAAAGUAGACACAACAGGGACUGAAAUUCACAUCCAUGAAGAACCUAAAUGAUACUGUCUCUUAAAAAUAAAUGGCCCUCCAGCUGUUUAUUACAUCUUCAUAAGCUGUUCCUCUUGAACUAAAUAAACAAACCUUGACUGGUAUCAUUUAGCUUGGUGAUCAUUUAUUUGAUCUAAUUGUAACAGCAAUUUUACAAUUUACAUCCCUUUGUCAAUUCGAAAAUACUUGAUUAAUCCCAAAGGGAGAUUAAAUGUUGUUGUAACUCAAAAUAUUUAAGAUUCUUCAGAGUUGUUGUAGAUGGUGAUGGGUGUUGGCAGGUAGAAUCUCCUGUAGCUCUCUGUUUUACAGUGACUUUGAAGAAGCCUCUGACUGAAGACACCGGUUUUCCUACAAGUCUCAUUAGGAAGAUGCUCAGAGUUAUCCAUAUUCUUUCUUUAUUUAACACUAAAUAUGUGAAAACAUCAAAUGUAAUUUUAUUUCCAUGAAACAAAUUAUACUGACAUUAGUCUAACUAGUUGUUUCUUAUUUAAAAAAAUGUCUUUUUACAGUUUCAUACAGUUUUUCUCAGUUUCUCUUUAGUCCAGUGAUUACGUUAGUCACCUUGCAAAUAAAAAAAAUUACAUAAAAUAUUCCUCUUUCAUAUUUUCCAAAGGUGUAUGUCAUAAAAGCCAUGGUGUGUAGUUAAUUUGUCAGCUUCAUCCUGUUAUGAAAACAGUGAGAGUCCAACUACAUGGCUACGGAGAAGAAUCUCUGCUGCCCCCUUGUGUUCAUUCCGUCAAAGAGCGACCACAAAUCCCCAAUCCAAUAACGUUAAGUUACAUUUCCACCAUAUGGUGUCCCCAAAGUUUACUUAAAUGGACUAAAAUGUGGGCACAGAUGGAGAACACGCAGCUACAAACUGAACUUAAUCUGCAUUUGGUCCAAGAGUCUCUGAGUAAUUGUCCUUCUAUAAGUUUACUGUGUUUUCUGCAUCUUUAAGAUAAAUUCAAAAGAUGUUUGUGGGACAAGGGACCAUUAUUUCAUUUCUGACAGAGUGUAACAAUGUAUCACUGAGAUGUAACUGCAUUGCUAAAAGAAACAAAAAAUCUAAAGUGACUGAAUUAUGUAAGAACAAAUCAAUUUUCUCAAUGUCACAGUGAGCAACCAACAGCCUAAAAUUAAACUUGACAAUUUAAGGAUUUAACUGUAUUAGUCGUGUCUUUGUG